CCUACGGGAGGCUGCAGUGGGGAAUAUUGCGCAAUGGGCGCAAGCCUGACGCAGCGACGCCGCGUGAGGGAUGAAGGUCUUCGGAUCGUAAACCUCUGUCAGCAGGGAAGAACGGUCACUGUGCUAAUCAGCAGUGAAUUGACGGUACCUGCAAAGGAAGCACCGGCUAACUCCGUGCCAGCAGCCGCGGUAAUACGGAGGGUGCGAGCGUUAAUCGGAAUUACUGGGCGUAAAGCGCUCGUAGGCGGUAUGUCAAGUCAAGUGUGAAAUCCCCGCGCUCAACGUGGGAACUGCCUUUGAAACUGGCAGACUGGAGUGUGUGAGAGGAUAGUGGAAGUCCAGGUGUAGGAGUGAAAUCCGUAGAUAUCUGGAGGAACAUCAGUGGCGAAGGCGACUAUCUGGCACAUAACUGACGCUGAGGAGCGAAAGCGUGGGUAGCAAACAGGAUUAGAUACCCGAGUAGUC
rnacentral:rRNA from 1 species